rnacentral:rRNA from 1 species
GACGAACGCUGGCGGCGUGCUUAACACAUGCAAGUCGAACGGAAAGGCCCUGCUUUUGUGGGGUGCUCAAGUGGCGAACGGGUGAGUAACACGUGAGUAACCUGCCCUUGACUUUGGGAUAACUUCAGGGGACUGGGGCUAAUACCGGAUAGGAGCUCCUGCUGCAUGGUGGGGGUUGGAAAGUGUCGGCGGUUGGGGAGGUACUCGGGGCUUAUCAGCUUGUUGGUGUGGUAGUGGCUUACCGAGGCUUGGACGGGUAGCCGACCUGGGAGGGUGAACGGCCACAUUGGGUACGGGAGACGGCCGAGAGGCAUCCGGGGGGAAGGAGUGGAGACUAAUGCACAAAGGGCGGGAGCGUGAAGCAGCAUCGCGGAGUGCGGGAUGACGUUGGUCGGGUAGUAAGCCGCUUUCGCUUGUGAGGAAGUGUGGGGGCGGGUACUGGGUAAAGAGACACGGGCAACUUAGGG